AGCUGACGACAGCCAUGCAGCACCUGUCACUUGGUUCCCUAAGGCACUCCUCUAUCUCUAAAGGAUUCCAAGGAUGUCAAGAGUAGGUAAGGUUCUUCGCGUUGCAUCGAAUUAAACCACAUGCUCCACCGCUUGUGCGGGCCCCCGUCAAUUCCUUUGAGUUUUAGCCUUGCGGCCGUACUCCCCAGGCGGAGAACUUAACGCGUUAGCUUCGACACCAAAGAGUAAACUCUCCAACGUCUAGUUCUCAUCGUUUACGGCGUGGACUACCAGGGUCUCUAAUCCUGUUCGCUACCCACGCUUUCGCACCUGAGCGUCAGUAUUGGGCCAGGAAGUCGCCUUCGCCACUGGUGUUCCUUCCGAUAUCUACGCAUUUCACCGCUACACCGGAAAUUCCACUUCCCUCUCCCAUACUCUAGCCUGACAGUUUCGAAUGCAAUUCCCAGGUUGAGCCCAGGGCUUUCACAUCCGACUGAUCAGGCCGCCUACGCGCGCUUUACGCCCAGUAAUUCCGAUUAACGCUCGCACCCUCCGUAUUACCGCGGCUGCUGGCACGGAGUUAGCCGGUGCUUCUUCUGUAGGUUACGUCAAGACCCGUGGUUAUUAACCCCGGGCAUUUCUUCUCUACUGAAAGUGCUUUACAACCCGCAGGCCUUCUUCACACACGCGGCAUUGCUGAAUCAGGGUUGCCCCCAUUGU
rnacentral:rRNA from 1 species